GCUGAAAAUCUAGCCCCACAUCUUCUUAUGAUCAACUUACACCUAACUUUUUCCACUAAAACAUUUUAUUAUUUAAGUAAAGGCGAUCGAAAAAUUAACAAGAGCGAUAAAUAUUGUACCGUAAGGGAAAGAUGAAAUAAUAUGAAACAUUUUAAGCACAAAAAAGUAGAGAUUUAAUCUCGUACCUUUUGCAUCAUGAUUUAACUAGUUUACCCAGGCAAAACGAAUUUAAGUUUGGCCCCCCGAAACUAAGCGAGCUACUUCAAGGCAGUUUUAUGAACUCAUCCGUCUCUGUUGCAAAAGAGUGGAAAGACCUUCAAGUAGGGGUGACAGACCUAACGAGCCUAGUGAUAGCUGGUUACUCAAGAAAAGGAUUUUAGUCCUCCCUAACGUCUAUUAGAUAUCACAAAAUAAAAUUUAGACUUUAGAGUUAUUCAAUUAAGGUACAGCCUAUUUGAAUCAGGAUACAACCUCAACUAAUGGGUAAGCUCAAUUUUCUUGUAUCUAAGUGGGCCUAAGAGCAGCCACCUAUAAAAUAGCGUCAAAGCUUAACUACAUUUUUCUUUAAUACCUAUAUUUAUUACCAACCCUUUACUUGUAAUGAGUACUUCCAUAUUUUUUAUGGAACUUAUUAUGUUAAAACUAGUAACAAGAAUUAGAUUUUCUCUUUAAUGCAAGUGUAUAUCAGAAAGGACACUCCACUGACUAUUAACAUCCAUGAAUUUAGGGUAGUAACCAAACAAGAAAACUCUACCUUCCCCAUUGUUAAUCUAACACAAGAGCAUUUCAAGAAAGAUUAAAAGGAAAAGAAGGAACUCGGCAAAUAUUAACCUCGCCUGUUUACCAAAAACAUCGCCUCUUGCAUCUCUAUAAGAGGUCCAGCCUGCCCAGUGACCCAGUUCAACGGCCGCGGUAUCCUAACCGUGCGAAGGUAGCGUAAUCACUUGUUCUUUAAAUGAGGACUAGUAUGAAUGGCACCACGAGGGUUUUACUGUCUCCUUUUUCUAAUCAGUGAAACUAAUCUUCCCGUGAAGAAGCGGGAAUUUUAUUAUAAGACGAGAAGACCCUAUGGAGCUUUAAAUAUAUGACAAAUGCUUCUUUUUUACUACAUCCAGAUAAUUAAUUAUUAAUUUAGCAUUUUGACCUAUAAAUUUUAGGUUGGGGUGACCAUGGAGCAAAAGUUAACCUCCACAUUGAAAAAACCUCAUUUUUAAGCUAAAAGUUACCGCUUUAAGCAUCAAUAUAUUGACAUUAAUUGACCCAUAAUUUGAUCAAUGAACCAAGUUACCCUAGGGAUAACAGCGCAAUCUACUUCAAGAGCUCUUAUCGACAAGUGGGUUUACGACCUCGAUGUUGGAUCAGGGUAUCCUAGUGGUGUAGCCGCUACUAAAGGUUCGUUUGUUCAACGAUUAAAACCCUACGUGAUCUGAGUUCAGACCGGAGUAAUCCAGGUCAGUUUCUAUCUAUAAGGAGCUUCUUCUAGUACGAAAGGACCGAAAAAGCAUGGCCCAUUUUUUAUCAAGCCAUUAAUAUUAAUUUAUGAUUUCAACUUAAUUAGUAAUUAAC
rnacentral:rRNA from 1 species